rnacentral:rRNA from 1 species
UACGAAGGGGGCUAGCGUUGCUCGGAAUCACUGGGCGUAAAGCGCACGUAGGCGGCUUGCUAAGUCAGGUGUGAAAUCUCCAGGCUCAACCUGGAGUCGCCACCUGAUACUGCUGUGACUUGAGUCCGGUAGGGGAGCGUGGAAUUCCUGGUGUAGCGGUGAAAUGCGCAGAUAUCAGGAGGAACACCAGCGGCGAAGGCGGCGCUCUGGGCCGGAACUGACGCUGAGGAGCGAAAGCGUGGGUAGCAAACAGG